AUACGGAGGAUGCAAGCGUUAUCCGGAUUUAUUGGGUUUAAAGGGUGCGUAGGCGGUUUGCUAAGCGGGAGGUGAAAUGCCGGCGCUCAACGUCGGAAGUGCCCCCGAACUGGUGGACUUGAAUGACUCUGCCGUGGGAGGAAUGUGUAGUGUAGCGGUGAAAUGCUUAGAGAUUACACAGAACACCGAUUGCGAAGGCAUCUCACGAAGGGUUGAUUGACGCUGAGGCACGAAAGCGUGGGGAUCAAACAGGAUUAGAUACCCUGGUAGUCCACGCAGUAAACGAUGAUGGCUAACUGCUGGGCUUAUCAGUUCAGUGGCCAAGCGAAAGCGAUAAGCCAUCCACCUGGGGAGUACGACCGCAAGGUUGAAACUCAAAGGAAUUGACGGGG
rnacentral:rRNA from 1 species